AACAAUGCUUUAUGAUUGUGCUUUGUGGAGUCUUCAAGGAUUCUGUAAAGGAAUUGCCAUCAUUCAGGAUUCCAAGCAUAGCCAACUUUCCUUCAACCAAGAGGAGAUUGUGUGCAAGGGGCUUUAUUUCCUCAAUCAGUCAAUUUGGAGGCUGUAAUUUACUGAAUGUCUCCUGCUAGAACUACCCUCCUCUAAUUUUUGUGCCUCUUCCACUAGCCAGUCACCUGAGUAAGCUAGGUAUUUGUUUCUUUUAUUGUUACAUUGCUGUAGAUUUCUC
rnacentral:lncRNA from 1 species